AAAAUCCUUAGUUUCAAAGUUUUGUUAACAGGAAAUUUAUAAAAAUGGUCAACACCGAAGUGUUGACUAUUGGGCUGGUGAUACUCUCGGGGAUGAAACGUCCACCAGCAGCAGCAUCGACCCAGUGGUGUAAAUAGUUAUCAAAGGUACCAGGAUUAUAAUUUAGGACGCGGGUAUCCACUUCAUAUGUUUAUCACUGAA
rnacentral:lncRNA from 1 species